rnacentral:rRNA from 1 species
GGGGAAUUUUGGACAAUGGGGGCAACCCUGAUCCAGCCAUGCCGCGUGAGUGAAGAAGGCCUUCGGGUUGUAAAGCUCUUUCGGCCGGGAAGAAAUCGCACGGGCUAAUACCUUGUGUGGAUGACGGUACCGGAAUAAGAAGCACCGGCUAACUACGUGCCAGCAGCCGCGGUAAUACGUAGGGUGCGAGCGUUAAUCGGAAUUACUGGGCGUAAAGCGUGCGCAGGCGGUUUUUUAAGACAGGCGUGAAAUCCCCGGGCUUAACCUGGGAACUGCGCUUGUGACUGGAAGGCUAGAGUACGGCAGAGGGGGGUGGAAUUCCACGUGUAGCAGUGAAAUGCGUAGAGAUGUGGAGGAACACCGGUGGCGAAGGCGGCUCUCUGGACCGAUACUGACGCUGAGACGCGAAAGCGUGGGUAGCAAAC